rnacentral:lncRNA from 1 species
CUUCCAGGCAGGUGUGUUGAGGCAGGUUGGAGCAAAACUCUACAGGACAUCGGCCCUCCAGGACCGAGUUUGGACACCCCUGGUAUAGAGCUUUCAGACACGACUUCACUCUUUCUGUUUUUUUAAUAGAUUACAGACAAUGGUUAGAGGUCUGCAGUGGGCGAGCGGAAGACUCGUUGAAGUGGACACUGCGGAAGAAAUGAUGGCUGUUGUGCAAGACUUCCUUCAAGAAAUUCAUAACAUUGGACAUACCCAGCCGUCAUCUGAGGAUGCACACAGUUAUCAGUCUCCCUUUCUGAGGAGUGGUGGUGUAGGGCGACCAAGGCGGGACAUAUCUGUUGACCAGCUCAACUUUCUACUGUCCCUCAACUUUACUGCUCGCCAAGUUGGAAACAUUCUGGGCGUGUCCUAUUCAACAAUUAAGAAUAAAAAAAAAAAUUCUAGACAGAUGCAGUGUGCACCAACAGUUGUGUGCGUGUCUGAAUGAGUGUGAGUGUGUGUGUGUGUGUGUGUGUGUGUGUGUGAGCAUGAGUGUGCGUGUGAUACAACCACAUUAAUUUUAACCUAUGUGAGUAACACUGGUUUUGAGUGUCAUUGUUUGUCUAAAGCUGCUGUGCUGUUGGCAACUAACAAUGAACUCUUGCUCGUAUUCACUCUUUUGUGCUUCCUUGUCAUUCGUUCAUCACCUUCGUGUUAUUUUUCGUGAAGCAUUAUUUUGUUGCGCUUCUGCUACGAUAAUUAGACAUCCACCCUUGAAUUUUGUGUGUAAUGUAGGCUAGCUAGUGAGAGAAGUGCACACUGAUGACUGCUAGAGAAUGCAGUGUUUACUGUUUAGUGUACUUGUUAGUGUGCGUGCCUCACAAUGCCAGUGAUUGGGAUUUGAGGCCGACUCAGAGCACAGCGGUUAGGAUUGGAGGGAGAGCUUUGGAGGCGGAGCAAUGAAGAGAGGGGCGCGUUUGUUUUGGUCAGAUCAUUAUAUAGUCUCAUGUAUACUUCCUUACAGU